CUUCGCUGUGUCCUCUCCGCACAUGUCCCGGAUCACCUCGGAGUCCCAGCCAUUCGGGAAGAUCAUACAGCCGAGUACCAAACACACAGCUGGAGGGGAAAAGGAGUGGAUGAGAGUUGCCUGAACAGUCCUCUGGUGUGUAGAGGUUCCAGCUGAGGCCAGGCUGGCCCUAACAGAUGGGUCCCUGAAUGCCUCAUUUACUCGACCACUGCUCCUGUGGAACGCCGUGCACAGAAUAGAUGACAUUCAGCUGAUGUACAGGCUCAGGACAUACAGGACUUAAGAUUUUGUGGAGAAGAGGAAAUCUCCAGUCUCUGAAAGUGAUGGGAUCUGAGGAGCUGAGUAUUUACAUGCAGUUUAAUGCAAAAGUGGACAGAGAUGUCUGUACUCUGUCAUUAAUGCACUGACGUGGUAGAGGUGAACACCAUUAUUCUUUAUUAUUUAUCAGAAUACCUACGAGUGCAUUAUUACGGUUGUAUCAAGGUGAGAUAAAUUGGAAGUGUGUCCCUGCCAUGUUCAUCCUUGUUUAGUGUCUCCUGGAAACAGUUUCUGUUGUUGUCUGUGCUACUUGCAUCAUGUCUGUAUUACUGUAAGCUGUUUUCUGUUUUUGCAACAUGUUUUUGGUUGUUUUCUCACUUUGCAGAAUUUGUCUGGGGAAGAUGCUUUCUUAAUUUGCUUGUGUUUUGUCUGUUUGCGUGUGUUUGCAUGCCUAUUAUCAAGUUGCAGUGCAUUGUGCUCUCAGGGCCACUGUAGCUAUUUCUGCUAAUGAUUCAAGUCAAAAUUGCUUAAAUAUAAAUAGCCUUUUGUUUCUAGGAUACAUAUUACACUCUGUUUUGAGAAUAUUAUUUCUGAUAGAUAAAGUCCAGUGAAAUUGACUAACUUCAAUUUGUAAUGACUGUGACAUAUUGAUCACAAGAAAGAUAAUAUAUAGAUUAUUACUCUUAAAGAAUGGCUAAUGUGUGACAACUUUGGAAAGCAGUGAUUUAAAGCUACAUUAAUUCAUUUUUUGGUGUCAGACAACAUUAUCAUUCAUUUGAACUGCGAUGGAAGUAUAAUUUCUACUCUUCU